AAUUUUUCAUGUAGAUCCUGCUGGAGGUCAACUUGAUUGUCAAUAUCGUUUUGAUGGUUUCUGUUCCCCAAACGACCUACCCUGCCCUGACUGUUUUUUUUCAUAUGGACAGUGUGAAUUUGACUUCCAGUGCUGUGCCAAAGAAAGUUGGAUUCCAGAGUGUGAAUAUGCAACUUCACCUGCUGAAAGUUUUUUUCCUAAAACAACAACUUCACAAAUAUUUUAUGAUGAAACCGAGGCAGCCAAAUAAACUGGUGUGACAUAAAUUCUUUUCCUGCUAAGUAAAAACAUCUGAGUAUCCUCUAACAGUGGAUGGAGCCUUUAAAGAUUAAUUUAAUUCCCCAAAAUGUUGGUUCUUAUGAGUUGCUGAUAAAAAAAACUGUUGUCAAAUGCUGAAACUGGUAUGCAUUAAAACUGAUACUUUCCAUACUUC